AGAGUUUGAUCCUGGCUCAGAAUGAACGUUGGCGGCGUGGAUUAGGCAUGCAAGUCGAGCGGGUAUAGCAAUAUAUCAGUGGCGAAAGGGAGAGUAACGCGUAGCUACGUGCCCCAGGGCCCGGAAUAGCCAGCCGAAAGGCUGGGUAAUGCCGGAUGAUGUCCCCGGACUAAAGGUGUGAUUCCACCUUGGGAGCGGGCUGCGUUGUACUAGCUUGUUGGUAGGGUAAUGGCCUACCAAGGCGAUGAUGCAUACCGGGCGUGAGAGCGUGGCCCGGCUCACUGGGACUGAGACACUGCCCAGACACCUACGGGUGGCUGCAGUCGAGAAUCUUCGGCAAUGAGCGCAAGCUUGACCGAGCGACGCCGCGUGCGGGAUGAAGGCCUUCGGGUUGUAAACCGCGAAAGUGGGGAGGAAGGCUCCGUGAAGAACGGG
rnacentral:rRNA from 1 species